CACGUAGGGCGCAAGCGUUGUCCGGAAUUAUUGGGCGUAAAGAGCUCGUAGGCGGUCUGUUGCGUCCGCUGUGAAAACUCGGGGCUUUACCCCGAGCCUGCAGUGGAUACGGGCAGACUAGAGGUAGGUAGGGGAGAAUGGAAUUCCCGGUGUAGCGGUGAAAUGCGCAGAUAUCGGGAGGAACACCGGUGGCGAAGGCGGUUCUCUGGGCCUUACCUGACGCUGAGGAGCGAAAGCGUGGGGAGCGAACAGG
rnacentral:rRNA from 1 species